rnacentral:rRNA from 1 species
CCUACGGGAGGCAGCAGUGGGGAAUAUUGCACAAUGGGGGAAACCCUGAUGCAGCGACGCCGCGUGAGUGAAGAAGUAAUUCGUUGUGUAAAGCUCUAUCAGCAGGGAAGAAAAUGACGGUACCUGAGUAAGAAGCCCCGGCUAACUACGUGCCAGCAGCCGCGGUAAUACGUAGGGGGCAAGCGGUAUCCGGAUUUACUGGGUGUAAAGGGAGCGUAGGCGGCAGUGCAAGUCUGGAGUGAAAGGCGGGGGCCUAACCCCCGGACUGCUCUGGAAACUGUGCGGCUAGAGUGCAGGAGAGGUAAGUGGAAUUCCUGGUGUAGCGGUGAAAUGCGUAGAGAUUAGGAGGAACACCAGUGGCGAAGGCGGCAUACUGGACUGUAACUGACGUUGAGGCUCGAAAGCGUGGGGAGCAAACAGGAUUAGAUACCCCGGUAGUC